AUUGGAUAUAAUUUUCAUUAAUGCUGUUUAGCUCAUGAAAAAAAAUUUUGAGUAUUAAUCAUCUUUCAAAAUAUACUUGACAAAGAAUGACACAGUGGGUGAAGGAAUUCCCAUAUUUAGGUUGCUUUUAAGAGCAAUGCAAAAUGAAAUAUCUUAAUCUGCCUCAGAUAUAAUUAGGGGAAAAUGUACUCACAUUAGAGGAUUUCUAACUGUUUAAUUUGCUGUUUUCAAAGUCUGGGAACAGUGGCAUACACCCAUAAUCCCAGCAACUUGGGAGUCUGAGGCAGGAGGAUCGAAAAUGUGAGGCCAACCUCCAGCAAUUUAAUUUACUAAGACUGCCUCCAAAUAAAAAAGAGAGGUGGUAAAGAACAUUUGCCUAAGCAUGCACCAGGCCAUGGGUUUGAUUGACAACACCAGAGGAGGUGAGAAAAAAUAAAAAAGCUUUUAGUAUCAAAAAGACCAGGAAAUGGCAUGCAAUUAAGUGUACAUGACUUUUUCUUGGGGUGUUAUCAUUUAUAUUUAUUAUUUAUUUAUUGUUGUGCUUAAUAGCUGAGCCACAUUCCACAUUCCAAACCCCCACCCCCUUUUUGGAGAUAAGGUCUCGAUAAGUUGCUUAGGGCCUCACUAAGUUGUUGAGGCUGGCUUACCUUACUUAGCCUGUGGAGUUGCUGGGAUUACAGGCCUCUUAAAGCCAUUUAUUAUUAUUAACAAUAAUAUUUAUUUACUAUUAUUAAAUUUUGUUACUAGGGAUUUAACCCAGGGGUGCUUUACCACUGAGCUACCUCCCUCCCUAGCCCUUUUUAUUUUUGAUUUUGAGACAGGUUCUCACUAUGUUGCUGAGUCUGGCCUUGAACUAGCAAUCAUCCUGCCUUAGCCUCAUGGAGUUGCUGGAAUUAUAGGCAUGUGCCACCAUGCCCCAGUGCCAUUUAUUUUAAAUGGUAUUGGCUACCUGGCCAUGUUAUGGCUACACAGGCCUGUUAUCUCAG
rnacentral:lncRNA from 1 species